AGCCCUUUUGGAAAUUAGCUAUGAAAAAGCUUAAAAAAAGGGGAAGAAAAUGCAUUAAAAAAUUGAACCAGCGCUAAAAUUUCAUCCAAUCGAAAAAGGAUUUUGCUUCCCGCUUCCUGUUUCACCUCUUUCCCCCUUCUUCUUCUUUCAUUCUAUUAGGUCACACAUGUCCUCUAAUGGUGCUCCGUUCUUCACUUUUUGUAUAACACCUUCUACCACUUCUUUUCCAUUUGAUGAGGCUCCACAAUUUUCGUUCAACAAGCCUUGCUUCCCCUUUUCAGGUUUAGGCUUCCCUUCCAUGGUUGUUUCAACCAUUCUUUUAGUUCCAAUUGGAUAUCUUUUGUUGAAAUCGGCUACAUAGUCCUCGACCAAUGAUUCAUCUUUUUCAAAGAAAAGAGUUUUCAUCUUUCAGCCUAGCAAGGUUCUAGAUGUUGCUGCUUGAUCAGCCAGAUCUUCCAAUCUCCCUAUCCUUGAAUAACUAAAGACCUCUUCUGCUAUCAUGCUUGAUGAGUUGAACCACAUGAGGAAUGGCGGCUGGGUAUUAGAUGAUCGAUAACAACGCCUCUGAUACAAGAGCACCACUUCUUCCCCAUAGGAUUUCCACUUGGUUUUUUUAUACACAAUGAAUUCAACUAGUUGGUUCACAAGUAGGUAUGAUACUCUGUUAGAUUAUAAUUAAGCUAAUUUUUCAUUGUCUAUAUGUAAUCAAGUAUUGGUUAUUCUUUGUAAUUUUUUGUUAUGUUUCUUCCAAUGACUGUUAAACACAUGGCUUACAUUUGGUUAUUAAUACAUUAGCCUGUCUCAGUAUCAGGGCUGAGCAGCAGAAUUAUUCCCUCUGUUUGGGGUGUUUUCUCUUGUGGUUA